rnacentral:rRNA from 1 species
UACGUAGGGAGCAAGCGUUGUCCGGAAUCAUUGGGCGUAAAGCGCGCGUAGGCGGCCCUGUAAGUCCGUUGUGAAAGUCAAAGGCUCAACCUUUGAAAGCCGAUGGAUACUGCAGGGCUAGAGUCCGGAAGAGGCGAGUGGAAUUCCUGGUGUAGCGGUGGAAUGCGCAGAUAUCAGGAGGAACACCAAUAGCGAAGGCAGCUCGCUGGGACGGUACUGACGCUAAGGCGCGAAAGCGUGGGGAGCAACAGG